rnacentral:tRNA from 1 species
GCGCGAGUGGUGAAAUUGGCAGACACGCAGGAUUUAGGUUCCUGUGCCUUCGGGCGUGGGGGUUCAAGUCCCCCCUUGCGCACCG